rnacentral:rRNA from 1 species
CCUACGGGAGGCUGCAGUGGGGAAUAUUGCACAAUGGGCGCAAGCCUGAUGCAGCCAUGCCGCGUGUGUGAAGAAGGCCUUCGGGUUGUAAAGCACUUUCAGCGGGGAGGAAGGCGGUGAGGUUAAUAACCUCAUCGAUUGACGUUACCCGCAGAAGAAGCACCGGCUAACUCCGUGCCAGCAGCCGCGGUAAUACGGAGGGUGCAAGCGUUAAUCGGAAUUACUGGGCGUAAAGCGCACGCAGGCGGUCUGUCAAGUCGGAUGUGAAAUCCCCGGGCUCAACCUGGGAACUGCAUUCGAAACUGGCAGGCUAGAGUCUUGUAGAGGGGGGUAGAAUUCCAGGUGUAGCGGUGAAAUGCGUAAAGAUCUGGAGGAAUACCGGUGGCGAAGGCGGCCCCCUGGACAAAGACUGACGCUCAGGUGCGAAAGCGUGGGGAGCAAACAGGAUUAGAUACCCCAGUAGUC